UUUCCGUAGGUGAACCUGCGGAAGGAUCAUUAUUGUAUAACCGAGGUGCGAGGGCUUUCGCGGACCCGAAAGGUCGCGGACGCCCGAGUGCCCUCACCCACCUCCAUCUCACCCCUAUGUGCACCACCGCGUGGGUCCCCCUUUGGCUUGUUCGGAGGGGGGCUUACGUUUUCACACAAACUUUGUAUGCAGUGUAGAAUGUAUUUUUUGUUUUUGCGAUCACGCAAUCAAUACAACUUUCAACAACGGAUCUCUUGGCUCUC
rnacentral:misc_RNA from 1 species